GACAGAACCCUAGAAGGAGGAGGCAUCAGAGGUUGAUCAUUUGGAGCUUCAUUACGCGGUACAACCCCAGAAGACGAAGGCAAUAAAUGCCUUUGGAACAAACCCACAAAUCUCUGAUGAUCAAGUAAAACCUGACCAUCAGUUUCCUUCAUCUGGUCAAGCUUCCCUCUUCAUGUUUGUAGCAUAGUCAUGUGCGAGCCGGUGCAACUGUUUAUUCUCAUGCUUGAGCCCUCUAAUCUCCUGUUUGAGACUCAUCACUUCAGCC
rnacentral:lncRNA from 1 species